UGCAAUUCUUUCAAUCUUUAUUUAGAUAAUCAGAAAUUUCUAAGAAAAUUAACUUUAAAAAGAUUUUUUGGGAAUAAGGAACUUAAUAAAAUGGACAUUGAACAGGAGCAACAAUUAGUUGAUCCAUUACACACUAUUACUUGUGAGGAAACAGUACCAGAGAUAUCAACAGAACCCAUAAUUACACAUACUGCUUUAAAAC